GACAGAGGCCUCAAGCGUUAGGCGGAAUCACUGGGCUUAAAGCGUGUGUAGGCGGAUCGUUAAGUGUCUUGUGAAAUCCCACGGCUCACCCGUGGAACUGCUGGGCAUACUGGCGAUCUUGGGCCAACUAGGGGCAACUGGAACAAGCGGUGGAGCGGUGAAAUGCAUAGAUAUCGCUUGGAACGCCGAAGGUGAAAACAGGUUGCUGGGGUUGUGCCGACGCUGAGACACGAAAGCCAGGGGAGCGAACGGG
rnacentral:rRNA from 1 species